UACGGAGGGUGCAAGCGUUAUCCGGAUUCACUGGGUUUAAAGGGUGCGUAGGCGGAUAGGUAAGUCCGUGGUGAAAUCCUGCAGCUUAACUGCAGAACUGCCGUGGAUACUAUCUAUCUUGAAUGUCGUGGAGGUUAGCGGAAUAUGUCAUGUAGCGGUGAAAUGCUUAGAUAUGACAUAGAACACCCAUUGCGAAGGCAGCUAACUACGCGAUAAUUGACGCUGAUGCACGGAAGCGUGGGGAUCAAACAGG
rnacentral:rRNA from 1 species